CACUUCGGUCCGGAGUCGAUGGGUUAUCAAUUAUAAUUGGCUCUUCAGUCAAUGGUUGUUGAGCAAACCCUUCCCAUCGACACAAAUUUGAUCGUUGU
rfam:Caenorhabditis brenneri strain PB2801 C_brenneri-6.0.1_Cont123.5, whole genome shotgun sequence.